GCGCAGCACCAGGUCCUCCGUCUCGAACAUCAGCACCUCUGGCAAGGAGGGGGAGAGGGACAAGGAGGGGCAGGCAGCCUCAGCCCACUGCUGACCUCCCCGAGCCGAGCGGAGCCAUCCCUGGACAGAGGAUGGUCCAGGAGCAAGAAGCAGUUUAUCUUACUUCCCGCCCACUCCGCUCACCUCCAGUAUCCACCAGGCAUCUCAGACUCAACCCCCAGCCCAGGAUCCCAGUGCAGGAUUGAGUUCCGGAUCUGGAGCCCAGCUGCCAGCGCUGGAAUCCAGACUCUCCCACCCACCAGCUGUGUGACCUUGGGCUGGUCUCUGAGCCUCAGUCUCCUCUUCUGUAGAAUGGGGAGGUAGUGUCUAUGUCCUGGAGGUGUGGUGGGGAUAGCUGUUAAGUGUUUGCAGACAAAGUGUGGCACGUGGUAAGGGCGCAAUAAAACACCAGCUUUCAUCAGC